CUUCCACUCAUCAUCGCCACCACAACCUGUCAUCACUGCAACCUCCACCAAUGCACCCUAUGUCACCUGAACAUCGUCUAUCGUCACUGAAACUUUCAAAAACAACAUAAAAUAUUAUCGAAAAACUCUGCCACCUGAAUAUCCUGUAGUUUAGUCAAAUAAAUCAAAAUCCAAACAAUUUAGGGAAACUUGGAGAUUGAAGGAGUGUGAACAUAUCAUGAUUCACGUGCAUCUCGAUCUUUAUAAUGUCCCUCUGAUGUCUGAGAAAUCGAAUCGAACGAGUGGUGAGAAUCAAUUUUCAGAAAAUCCACCAACCAUCGAUAAUUUUGCCUUCGUCUUGCCCUCUGCUUUCAUUAUGUUUCAGAUGGGUUUAGUUCUCAACUGGGUUGAGUUUCAGAUCGGGUUAUCAAAUUGAACGAUUGAGCGUGAACGGACAAUUGGAGAGGGUGUGAGGAGGAGAAAGAUCGGGUCACCGGAAUCUGGAACGGGAAAGAGACGAAGAUGGUGAGAGGCAGUGAUGGAGGAAGGUGAAGCAUGAAGAUCUGGGAGAAGGAACGAAGCUAUAGGGUUUUU
rnacentral:lncRNA from 1 species